UCAAUUUAGUCUAAGCGGCAA
ensembl:piRNA 21ur-916 ncRNA